UGCGCAGGCUGGCAUGAAAGUAUUGUGUGAAAUCCCACGGCUCAACCGUGGAACUGCACAGUAAACUUCAUGCCUUGAGGUCGGUAGGGGCUGCCGGAACUCUAGGUGGAGCGGUGAAAUGCGUAGAUAUCUAGAGGAACGCCAAAGACGAAGGUAGGCAGCUGGGCCGAUUCUGACGCUCAGGCACGAAAGCAUGGGUAGCGAACG
rnacentral:rRNA from 1 species